GUCCACGCCAUAAACGAUGAGGACUAGACGUUGGGAGGGUUAGCCUUUCAGUGUCGCAGCUAACGCGAUAAGUCCUCCGCCUGGGGAGUACGGCCGCAAGGUUGAAACUCAAAGGAAUUGACGGGGACCCCGCACAAGCGGUGUAGCAUGUGGUUUAAUUCGAUGCAACGCGAAUAACCUUACCUGGCCUUGACAUCUGUCGAAUCCUGCAUAGAUGUGGGAGUGCCUUCGGGAACGACAAGACAGGUGCUGCAUGGCUGUCGU
rnacentral:rRNA from 1 species